CCAUAUUUUGUUAUAGGCUUACAUCAGGGCUUUUCAAAAUGUGGGGCAUGCCCUCAAUGCCAGAGCUCCUGCAAAGGCCAGGAAAGGGGACCUACAGGUUUGCUAUGUGAGGGAAAAAAAAAAAAAUUCUCAGGGCGAAACUGCUUGCUUGUUUAGGAUUCAGCUCCAGCAACAUGAGAAGAGCGAGGUCUUUGGAAACCUCAGGCUCUUCAGAUUGAAGGACUCCAACCGAGUGGGAGAAGUUGCAAACAGCAGGAGUCAAUUUUAUGUCUAAGCAGCUCCUCUUCCUGUGGAUAUAAUGCACUUUCAGAAAGCUCUAAACUCUGCUGGUGUGAUGCUCUCCACUAUGAAAGAUUUUUUUUACCUCUUUUUCAAAAGGAAUGAUCAAAUGGCGAACUUCAGAAGAAACCUGUUCAGAACCUUUUGUUUUAAAUAUAUGUGACAUUUGCUGGGGGGCAAUUAAAGAUAAAUUGUCAUAUUUGAAAUAGUUGUCAAGUAGAAAAAGGGUUAACUGUCAAUUUUUUAAAAUUAUUAUUUAAGAAAGAGUAUGAUCAUAACAGUUGUACAUAGAUGUACACAUGCUUAUCUUAAAGUAAUUGAUAUUAAACAUAGUCAGUGACAGCCUGAUUCUU